GAAUGAGAUGAUGACUAUGAUAUGUUUCCCUAUUGGUUUGAUUGCCGUAAUGAUGGCAAACAUUCUGUAUUAGCUCUAUCUGAUCAUUC
rnacentral:snoRNA from 1 species